rnacentral:snRNA from 1 species
GGAUGGAGAGUGAUUUGGUUGUGACAGCGUCACCUCAUUGAGUCCCUGGGUUGAUUUCACAGAUCUGGCUGGCUAGAUGGGUGCUCACCUCCUCCCUCACUACCCCAUGUGUAUCCCCAUCAACACUCCCUCCAGGAGUCAAGGUUAUGCAAGUGGCUGCCCUCUGCUUCUAGACCCACCAAACAAGGUCUCCAGACGAGAUGAGUGCAUAAGACUCUGGGGCAAUGUGUAAGUGCCUUUGAAGAGUGUGGUCACCAAUUUUAGUGGAGGACAUUCACCCAGCUAGUGUUU